rnacentral:rRNA from 2 species
UGGGGAAUAUUGCACAAUGGGCGAAAGCCUGAUGCAGCGACGCCGCGUGAGCGAAGAAGUAUUUCGGUAUGUAAAGCUCUAUCAGCAGGGAAGAUAAUGACGGUACCUGACUAAGAAGCACCGGCUAAAUACGUGCCAGCAGCCGCGGUAAUACGUAUGGUGCAAGCGUUAUCCGGAUUUACUGGGUGUAAAGGGAGCGUAGGUGGUUUGGUAAGUCAGAUGUGAAAGCCCGGGGCUCAACCCCGGUACUGCAUUUGAAACUACCAGACUAGAGUGCAGGAGAGGUAAGUGGAAUUCCUAGUGUAGCGGUGAAAUGCGUAGAUAUUAGGAGGAACACCAGUGGCGAAGGCGGCUUACUGGACUGUAACUGACACUGAGGCUCGAAAGCGUGGGGAGCAAACAGG